GGGACUGGGCAUUCUACAUGAUCUGAGGUCACAUUUCAGAAGUUGCGUGUUUAACGGCUGUGGACGCGCCGCGCCCUCAACAGGGAGUGUGCAAACUACUGCGCAGGAGAGGCUGCGGCGCCAUUGACACUGUAUUUCGGAGACGGCCACCGCCAAGGCAGGGCCGAUCCCCAACGCCGACCCCCCGGAGGGGUUCGAGGGUUGAAAUGACGCUCGGACAGGCAUGCCCGCCAGAAUACUGGCGGGCGCAAUGUGCGUUCAAAGAUUCGAUGAUUCACUGAAUUCUGCAAUUCACAUUACUUAUCGCAUUUCGCUGCGUUCUUCAUCGAUGCCAGAACCAAGAGAUCCGUUGUUGAAAGUUUUGAUUCAUUUUCGAAACGCCUACGAGAGGCGCCGAGAAGGCUCAGAUUAUAAAAAAACCCGCGAGGGGGUAUACAAUAAGAGUUUUGGUUGGUCCUCCGGCGGGCGCCUUGGUCCGGGGCUGCGACGCACCCGGGGCAGAGAUCCCGCCGAGGCAACAGUUUGGUAACGUUCACAUUGGGUUUGGGAGUUGUAAACUCGGUAAUGAUCCCUCCGCUGGUUCACCAACGGAGACCUUGUUACGACUUUUACUUCCAAAGGUGCGUCAGCGGU
rnacentral:misc_RNA from 1 species